rnacentral:lncRNA from 1 species
GAUCAUUUACAGAUUUUCUGGCUAAUAGCCAGAAAAUGGCUAUUCAUUCUAGUGCUGGCUGUUUAUCUGUUGUACUUUUAUCAGUCAUUCCUUUUUAGAUAUAUCUCUUCUUACAGAAUAAAUCAUCUGGCUGAGCUUUGAUUUUUUCUUUUGGCAUUGAUCCUGCUGUGGAGAUACUGUCUAAGAAGACAUUUCACCAAGUCUGCUAACUGAUCUGCAGUUUCAGUGUCAGGAAUCUUGCUCCUCAAAGUGGAAGUAGACACUGAAAUUGGCAAUGCAAGCAAGAUUAAAGAUGAGAAAAAGCCAAGCCAAGCUGAAGAAAGCCCCCACCUUCAACUUUUAGCCUCAUCUUGUAUUCAGUGUUUAAAAUUUCCAGAUUAGUGUGCUCUUUACGUCCCCAAUCAACAGAAUUUCUAAAGGAAAAGGAAACCCAUUCUGCAUUUAUGUGUGUGUGCCUCCAGGCUGCAGUUCUCUCCAAAGCUCAGUGAUCCACAG